UGAAGAGUGCGGAAGUGAUGUUACGCAUUUUUCUUUGCUUAAUCUCAAGUGUUGAUUGUCUUAAUUAAUGCAUUUUCGAAAAGUAUUUUAUUUAAUCUAAACAAUAUUUCGGUGGAGAAGUGUUUUAUCUUGUGUUUCAAAGGGGGUUUCCAGUGGAAAUUGUGCAGAGAUUUCUUGGUGAGUUUACCCUUUGAUUACUCAUCCAUAUCAGGAAAUUACCCUUCAGUAUAGAUUUCAAAAAUCACAUAUUUUUUUUUUUAAUUGUGUUAAUGUAUUCUUACUGAUAUUUCUUUUGCAAAAUUUCAAGCCAAACUUUGCGAAUGGCGAAUUUAAAGGCAGGAGUCUAAAAGGGCAGUUCGAAAGAUGUCUCAGAAAAAGUGCAAGAUCUUCAUCAACGAAAUUGAAAAAGGACGAGAUUUUUACCAUCACCAUCAUUAUUUUCAACCGCUUAUUUCUUGGGGCCGUGGAGAUUUUUACUGAGGUAGGUAAUUUGAAACCGAAAUUAUAUUUAUAUCAAUUUCUUUUUUUUUAAAUUAAUUUAAUUUAAGAACCAUGCAUGAUUUUAUUAUUUUUUUAUUCUAGUUUUUAGUUUGUUUAACCCUUUAUUCUAUUCAAAUAUUAAAACAAAAAAGAUAUUUUAAUAAGAAAAUCUUCGUGUUUCAUUUAGGAAACUUACUAUGUUGCUGCGGCGAAAAAUGUCGAGCCUUCAGGAUCACUUUUUAACAAAUUUAGGAACAUUAGACAUUCCUAAAUAAAAAAAAGGAAAAUCGAUCGAAGUAACAAAAAGGCUUCUAAAAAGAAGGAAGAGGAUAAGGAAGAUAUUCCUCAAUCUUUUGUUUCACAAGAUGAGGAAACUGCUUUAAGCUCCACUUCAACUGUGAUGUCCAAAUGGGAAAAAAAUAUUUCCCUCUUGCUGAAUUGAAAGAUAAAUGGGCGAUUUUGGCCACUUCGUACGCUUGCAAAUUGAUUAAUUUUGAUUGUGAGGAGUUGUAUGCUGAUUGCAAGCCUCUCGUGCCUCUCGUGAGUUCAAAAAGAUUUCUCAAUAUACAAUUUCCCAGUUGAAAAUUUUCGAAGAGGAAGAGAACCCCACCGAUCCAGGUAAAUUAUAAAAAAGUGAUUUUUCAUAUUAUUAAAACUUCUUUUCACAAAAAUAUGUGAUUAAAAAAUAUUAUUAAAAAAUGUUAUAUUUUAUAUUAUAUUUAAUUUAAAUUAUGUAGAAGUAUAAAAUAUCACAAAAAUAUCCUCACGGUUGUAUAAAAUAUCUUAAAAUCAAAAUAUCAAAAUUAUAAUUUAUUUUUUUUUAUUAAUAAAACAA